AGAGUUUGAUCCUGGCUCAGGAUGAACGCUGGCGGCGUGCCUAAUACAUGCAAGUCGAACGAAACUUCUUUAUCACCGAGUGCUUGCACUCACCGAUAAAGAGUUGAGUGGCGAACGGGUGAGUAACACGUGGGCAACCUGCCCAAAAGAGGGGGAUAACACUUGGAAACAGGUGCUAAUACCGCAUAACCAUAGUUACCGCAUGGUAACUAUGUAAAAGGUGGCUAUGCUACCGCUUUUGGAUGGGCCCGCGGCGCAUUAGCUAGUUGGUGAGGUAAAGGCUUACCAAGGCAAUGAUGCGUAGCCGAACUGAGAGGUUGAUCGGCCACAUUGGGACUGAGACACGGCCCAAACUCCUACGGGAGGCAGCAGUAGGGAAUCUUCCACAAUGGGCGAAAGCCUGAUGGAGCAACGCCGCGUGGGUGAAGAAGGUCUUCGGAUCGUAAAACCCUGUUGUUAGAGAAGAAAGUGCGUGAGAGUAACUGUUCACGUUUCGACGGUAUCUAACCAGAAAGCCACGGCUAACUACGUGCCAGCAGCCGCGGUAAUACGUAGGUGGCAAGCGUUAUCCGGAUUUAUUGGGCGUAAAGGGAACGCAGGCGGUCUUUUAAGUCUGAUGUGAAAGCCUUCGGCUUAACCGGAGUAGUGCAUUGGAAACUGGGAGACUUGAGUGCAGAAGAGGAGAGUGGAACUCCAUGUGUAGCGGUGAAAUGCGUAGAUAUAUGGAAGAACACCAGUGGCGAAAGCGGCUCUCUGGUCUGUAACUGACGCUGAGGUUCGAAAGCGUGGGUAGCAAACAGGAUUAGAUACCCUGGUAGUCCACGCCGUAAACGAUGAAUGCUAAGUGUUGGAGGGUUUCCGCCCUUCAGUGCUGCAGCUAACGCAAUAAGCAUUCCGCCUGGGGAGUACGACCGCAAGGUUGAAACUCAAAGGAAUUGACGGGGGCCCGCACAAGCGGUGGAGCAUGUGGUUUAAUUCGAAGCAACGCGAAGAACCUUACCAGGUCUUGACAUCUUCUGACAAUCCUAGAGAUAGGACUUUCCCUUCGGGGACAGAAUGACAGGUGGUGCAUGGUUGUCGUCAGCUCGUGUCGUGAGAUGUUGGGUUAAGUCCCGCAACGAGCGCAACCCUUAUUGUUAGUUGCCAGCAUUAAGUUGGGCACUCUAGCAAGACUGCCGGUGACAAACCGGAGGAAGGUGGGGAUGACGUCAAAUCAUCAUGCCCCUUAUGACCUGGGCUACACACGUGCUACAAUGGACGGUACAACGAGUCGCAAGACCGCGAGGUUUAGCAAAUCUCUUAAAGCCGUUCUCAGUUCGGAUUGUAGGCUGCAACUCGCCUACAUGAAGUCGGAAUCGCUAGUAAUCGCGGAUCAGCAUGCCGCGGUGAAUACGUUCCCGGGCCUUGUACACACCGCCCGUCACACCAUGAGAGUUUGUAACACCCAAAGCCGGUGGGGUAACCUUUUGGAGCCAGCCGUCUAAGGUGGGACAGAUGAUUGGGGUGAAGUCGUAACAAGGUAGCCGUAGGAGAACCUGCGGCUG
rnacentral:rRNA from 2 species